GAUAAACGCUAGCGGCAGGCUUAACACAUGCAAGUCGAGGGGCAGCAUAGAUUGUAGCAAUACAAUUGGUGGCGACCGGCGCACGGGUGCGUAACGCGUAUGCAACCUACCCGUCACAGGGGGAUAAUCCGGAGAAAUCUGGUCUAAUACACCAUAACAUAUGGAUCGGCAUCGGUUCAUGUUGAAAUUUUCGGAGGUGACGGAUGGGCAUGCGUAGCAUUAGCUUGUUGGUGAGGUAACGGCUCACCAAGGCGACGAUGCUUAGGGGGACUGAGAGGUUUGCCCCCCACACUGGUACGGAGACACGGACCAGACUCCUACGGGAGGCAGCAGUGAGGAAUAUUGGUCAAUGGGCGCAAGCCUGAACCAGCCAUGCCGCGUGCAGGAUGACGGCUCUAUGAGUUGUAAACUGCUUUUGUACGAGGGUAAAGUGGGUUGCGUGUAACCUUUUGAAAGUAUCGUACGAAUAAGGAUCGGCUAACUCCGUGCCAGCCGCCGCAGUAA
rnacentral:rRNA from 1 species